UAAUUUGAGAGUUUGAUCCUGGCUCAGGACGAACGCUGGCGGCGUGCCUAAUACAUGCAAGUCGAACGAACUCUGGUAUUGAUUGGUGCUUGCAUNGGCUAUCACUUUUGGAUGGUCCCGCGGCGUAUUAGCUAGAUGGUGGGGUAACGGCUCACCAUGGCAAUGAUACGUAGCCGACCUGAGAGGGUAAUCGGCCACAUUGGGACUGAGACACGGCCCAAACUCCUACGGGAGGCAGCAGUAGGGAAUCUUCCACAAUGGACGAAAGUCUGAUGGAGCAACGCCGCGUGAGUGAAGAAGGGUUUCGGCUCGUAAAACUCUGUUGUUAAAGAAGAACAUAUCUGAGAGUAACUGUUCAGGUAUUGACGGUAUUUAACCAGAAAGCCACGGCUAACUACGUGCCAGCAGCCGCGGUAAUACGUAGGUGGCAAGCGUUGUCCGGAUUUAUUGGGCGUAAAGCGAGCGCAGGCGGUUUUUUAAGUCUGAUGUGAAAGCCUUCGGCUCAACCGAAGAAGUGCAUCGGAAACUGGGAAACUUGAGUGCAGAAGAGGACAGUGGAACUCCAUGUGUAGCGGUGAAAUGCGUAGAUAUAUGGAAGAACACCAGUGGCGAAGGCGGCUGUCUGGUCUGUAACUGACGCUGAGGCUCGAAAGUAUGGGUAGCAAACAGGAUUAGAUACCCUGGUAGUCCAUACCGUAAACGAUGAAUGCUAAGUGUUGGAGGGUUUCCGCCCUUCAGUGCUGCAGCUAACGCAUUAAGCAUUCCGCCUGGGGAGUACGGCCGCAAGGCUGAAACUCAAAGGAAUUGACGGGGGCCCGCACAAGCGGUGGAGCAUGUGGUUUAAUUCGAAGCUACGCGAAGAACCUUACCAGGUCUUGACAUACUAUGCAAAUCUAAGAGAUUAGACGUUCCCUUCGGGGACAUGGAUACAGGUGGUGCAUGGUUGUCGUCAGCUCGUGUCGUGAGAUGUUGGGUUAAGUCCCGCAACGAGCGCAACCCUUAUUAUCAGUUGCCAGCAUUAAGUUGGGCACUCUGGUGAGACUGCCGGUGACAAACCGGAGGAAGGUGGGGAUGACGUCAAAUCAUCAUGCCCCUUAUGACCUGGGCUACACACGUGCUACAAUGGAUGGUACAACGAGUUGCGAACUCGCGAGAGUAAGCUAAUCUCUUAAAGCCAUUCUCAGUUCGGAUUGUAGGCUGCAACUCGCCUACAUGAAGUCGGAAUCGCUAGUAAUCGCGGAUCAGCAUGCCGCGGUGAAUACGUUCCCGGGCCUUGUACACACCGCCCGUCACACCAUGAGAGUUUGUAACACCCAAAGUCGGUGGGGUAACCUUUUAGGAACCAGCCGCCUAAGGUGGGACAGAUGAUUAGGGUGAAGUCGUAACAAGGUAGCCGUAGGAGAACCUGCGGCUGGAUCACCUCCUUUCUAAGGAA
rnacentral:rRNA from 1 species